CCUACGGGAGGCAGCAGUGGGGAAUAUUGGGCAAUGGGCGCAAGCCUGACCCAGCAACGCCGCGUGAAGGAAGAAGGCUUUCGGGUUGUAAACUUCUUUUGUCAGGGAAGAGUAGAAGACGGUACCUGACGAAUAAGCCACGGCUAACUACGUGCCAGCAGCCGCGGUAAUACGUAGGUGGCAAGCGUUGUCCGGAUUUACUGGGUGUAAAGGGCGGGUAGCCGGGUUGACAAGUCAGAUGUGAAAUCCUGCGGCUUAACCGCAGAACUGCAUUUGAAACUGUUGAUCUUGAGUACUGGAGAGGCAGACGGAAUUCCUAGUGUAGCGGUGAAAUGCGUAGAUAUUAGGAGGAACACCAGUGGCGAAGGCGGUCUGCUGGACAGCAACUGACGGUGAGGCGCGAAAGCGUGGGGAGCAAACAGGAUUAGAUACCCCAGUAAUC
rnacentral:rRNA from 1 species